rnacentral:rRNA from 1 species
GACGAACGCUGGCGGUGUGCUUAACACAUGCAAGUCGAACGGAAAGGCCCUGCUUUUGUGGGGUGCUCGAGUGGCGAACGGGUGAGUAACACGUGAGUAACCUGCCCUUGACUUUGGGAUAACUUCAGGAAACUGGGGCUAAUACCGUAUAGGAGCUCCUGCUGCAUGGUGGGGGUUGGAAAGUUUCGGCGGUUGGUGAUGGACUCGCGGGUUAUCAGCUUGUUGGUGGGGUAGUGGCUUACCAAGGCUUUGACGGGUAGCCGGCCUGAGAGGGUGACCGGCCACCUUGGGCCUGAGAUACGGCGCAGACUCCUACGGGGGGCAGCAGCGGGGAAUAUUGCACAAUGGGCGGAAGCCUGAUGCAGCAACGCCGCGUGAGGGAUGACGGCCUUCGGGUUGUAAACAGCUUUCGCCUGUGACGAAGCGUGAGUGACGGUAAUGGGUAAAGAAGCACCGGCUAACUACGUG